rnacentral:rRNA from 1 species
GACGAACGCUGGCGGCGUGCUUAACACAUGCAAGUCGAACGGAAAGGCCCUGCUUUUGUGGGGUGCUCGAGUGGCGAACGGGUGAGUAACCCGUGAGUAACCUGCCCUUGACUUUGGGAUAACUUCAGGAAACUGGGGCUAAUACCGGAUAGGAGCUCCUGCUGCAUGGUGGGGGUUGGAAAGUUUCGGCGGUUGGGGAUGGACUCGCGGCUUAUCAGCUUGUUGGUGGGGUAGUGGCUUACCAAGGCUUUGACGGGUAGCCGGCCUGAGAGGGUGACCGGCCACAUGGGGACUGAGAUACGGCCCAGACUCCUACGGGAGGCAGCAGUGGGGAAUAUUGCACAAUGGGCGGAAGCCUGAUGCAGCAACGCCGCGUGCGGGAUGACGGCCUUCGGGUUGUAAACCGCCUUCGCCUGUGACGAAGCGUGAGUGACGGUAAUGGGUAAAGAAGCACCGGCUAACUACGUG